AUUGAACGCUGGCGGCAUGCUUUACACAUGCAAGUCGAACGGUAACAGGGAGCUUGCUCCGCUGACGAGUGGCGAACGGGUGAGUAAUGCAUCGGAACGUACCGUGUAAUGGGGGAUAACGUAGCGAAAGUUACGCUAAUACCGCAUACGCCCUGAGGGGGAAAGUGGGGGACCGCAAGGCCUCACGUUAUACGAGCGGCCGAUGUCGGAUUAGCUAGUUGGUGGGGUAAAGGCCUACCAAGGCGACGAUCCGUAGCGGGUCUGAGAGGAUGAUCCGCCACACUGGGACUGAGACACGGCCCAGACUCCUACGGGAGGCAGCAGUGGGGAAUUUUGGACAAUGGGCGCAAGCCUGAUCCAGCCAUGCCGCGUGAGUGAAGAAGGCCUUCGGGUUGUAAAGCUCUUUCAGGUGGAAAGAAAUCGCACCUUUUAAUACAGGGUGUGGAUGACGGUACCAUCAGAAGAAGCACCGGCUAACUACGUG
rnacentral:rRNA from 1 species